rnacentral:rRNA from 1 species
UACGUAGGGGGCAAGCGUUGUUCGGAUUUAUUGGGCGUAAAGAGCUCGUAGGCGGUUCCGUAAGUCGUGAAGUCAAAUCUCUGGGCUCAACCCAGAAUCGCUUCCGAUACUGCGGUGACUGGAGUCCGGUAGGGGAGUGUGGAAUUCCUGGUGUAGCGGUGAAAUGCGCAGAUAUCAGGAGGAACACCGGUGGCGAAGGCGGGUCUCUGGGCCGAUACUGACGCUGAGGAGCGAAAGCGUGGGGAGCGAACAGG